rnacentral:rRNA from 1 species
CCCUUAGAUGUUCUGGGCCGCACGCGUGCUACACUGAGUGGAUCAGCGGGUCAGGUUGCGCGAAAGCGUUUCCUAAUCUUUAAAUCCGCUCGUGAUGGGGAUUGACGGUUGCAAUUUUCUGUCAUGAACGAGGAAUACCUUGUAAGCGCGGGUCAUCAUCCCGCGCUGAAUACGUCCCUGCCCUUUGUACACACCGCCCGUCGCUCCUACCGAUUGGAUUGGCUGGUGAAGCGUUCGGAUUGUGGGUUCGGAGCGGUUCGCCGUUCUGGGCUUGCGAGAAGUUCGUUAAACCCUCCUAUCUAGAGGAAGGAGAAGUCGUAACA